UAGAUAAUAGACAGUAACAGCAGUAUACUGUAGGUAGGGGUAAAGGAUAGAUAAUAGACAGUAACAGCAGUAUACAGUAGGUAGGGGUAAAGGAUAGAUAAUAGACAGUAACAGCAGUAUACUGUAGGUAGGGGUAAAGGAUAGAUAAUAGACAGUAACAGCAGUAUACUGUAGGUAGGGGUAAAGGAUAGAUAAUAGACAGUAACAGCAGUAUACAGUAGGUAGGGGUAAAGGAUAGAUAAUAGACAGUAACAGCAGUAUACUGUAGGUAGGGGUAAAGGAUAGAUAAUAGACAGUAACAGCAGUAUACUGUAGGUAGGGGUAAAGGAUAGAUAUUAGACAGUAACAGCAGUAUACUGUAGGUAGGGGUAAAGGAUAGAUAAUAGACAGUAACAGCAGUAUACUGUAGGUAGGGGUAAAGGAUAGAUAAUAGACAGUAACAGCAGUAUACUGUAGGUAGGGGUAAAGGAUAGAUAAUAGACAGUAACAGCAGUAUACUGUAGGUAGGGGUAAAGGAUAGAUAGUAGACAGUAACAGCAGUAUACUGUAGGUAGGGGUAAAGGAUAGAUAGUAGACAGUAACAGCAGUAUACUGUAGGUAGGGGUAAAGGAUAGAUAAUAGACAGUAACAGCAGUAUACUGUAGGUAGGGGUAAAGGAUAGAUAGUAGACAGUAACAGCAGUAUACUGUAGGUAGGGGUAAAGGAUAGAUAAUAGACAGUAACAGCAGUAUACUGUAGGUAGGGGUAAAGGAUAGAUAAUAGACAGUAACAGCAGUAUUAUAUGGUGGGUAUGAACGCGUGUGUGGCGUCAGUAUGGAUGUGUGUGUGUGUAUGUGAGUGUGAGUGUGUGU